CCUACGGGAGGCAGCAGUGGGGGAUAUUGCACAAUGGGGGGAACCCUGAUGCAGCGACGCCGCGUGGGUGCAGGAGUGCUUCGGCAUGUAAAGCCCUAUCGGCAGGGAAGAAGCAAGACGGUACCUGACUAAGAAGCCCCGGCUAACUACGUGCCAGCAGCCGCGGUAAUCCGUAGGGGGCGAGCGUUAUCCGGAUUCACUGGGUGUAAAGGGAGCGUAGACGGCCAAGCAAGCCAGGGGUGAAAGCCCGGGGCCCAACCCCGGGACUGCCCUUGGAACUGCAUGGCUGGAGUGCGGGAGGGGCAGGCGGAAUUCCUGGUGUAGCGGUGAAAUGCGUAGAUAUCAGGAGGAACACCGGCGGCGAAGGCGGCCUGCUGGACCGCGACUGACGUUGAGGCCCGAAGGCGUGGGGAGCAAACAGGAUUAGAUACCCCUGUAGUC
rnacentral:rRNA from 1 species